rnacentral:tRNA from 1 species
GGGGCUAUAGCUCAGCUGGGAGAGCGCCUGCUUUGCGCAGGAGGUCUGCGGUUCGAUCCGCAUAGCUCCACCA